rnacentral:rRNA from 1 species
AUGCCCCGCUUCCUCGUCCUCGACCCGGCCACCCGCCGCCGCACGGUCCUCCCGCCCCCGCGCCGCGACACGGUGCCCGAUGACCGCCGCUGGCGCAGAUCGAGGUACUACAUCGGCUCCGCGCUGCUCUCCCGCGCUCACCCGAGCAAGCUCUGCUUCGAGGCUGUCUGCUUCGCCAUCGAGGAGGGGCGCCCUCGCGCCUGGGUCGCGUCCGUCAGCAACGGCGACUGCAGCUGGCGCGCGCUCCCGCGGGACGAGGAGGCCGAGGUCGACUUCAAUCCCUGGUUGUUCGAAAACCGCGGCGUGCACGCAGGCGGGAAGAUAUACUGGCACAUCUGCAACUCUCCGCGCAUGCUCACGCUGGACCCUGUCACACUCAGGUUCUCCUACCUGCACGGGCCGCGCGCGCUGGCUGUCGACCCGAUAACCGUGUGCAAGGUCCGCGUCGGGGAGACGCCGGAUGGGCGGCUUUGCUUGGUGACCGACGGCGAGCAGCAGCUGCAGCUCUGGGUGCGCGGGGAGGGCAGGGGGAGCGACAAAGGUUGGCUUCUGCAGAAGAGUGUCGCGGAGCUGAGCACGCUGUGCGACAUGAUUCCUGGCAUGCCCAGCGACGCGGAAAUGAUUCCUGGACCUCGCAAGCCCACCGACAUCGAGAUGGUUCCUGGCAUGCCCUGCGAACGGACUGUUUGCGUCUGGCCCAGCGACAUGGACGCCGGUCGCACGGGGAAGGUGUUCAUCAAGACCUGGGGAUUCGGACGCUACUCGUACGAUAUGUACACCGGCAAGCUGGAGCGCCUGGCGACGAAGCGUGGCAAGGAAUAUGGGCACCCCAUGUUCGCCUACUUCCUGGCAUGGCCGCCCGCCUUCCUCGCUCCAGAACCAGAGCCGUUGGUGACUUGUAAGGAAUUGGCGCAUCUUUGUUUGAAGUCAGCUCUUCAUUUCUGGGUCACUACUUUCAUGCUAACACCUCACGUUGAGCUCAUGGGGAACCUCUGA